GUCCUGAUAGCUCAAAAUCAAGAGCGUUAGUUUUGUAAACUAAAAAUGGGUUUAACCCUCAGGAUU
rnacentral:tRNA from 2 species